CACCCCCCUCUGGCAUCCAUACAGGAAGGGCAGUCAAACAAAGCUGAAGGGAAGCCCCCAAACUUGACAUUGUGUCUGAACAGACCUCUGUUACCGACUGAGAAGAGAGAAAUAAGAUGAUUAACGCUCACACCGUGGUGAUCAAUUGUGCCUGUACCGUAGGCAGCGGGCCUAUAGGAUGGUUUGCGUUGGGGGCUGCAGUGGGGGUAGUAGCGUUGGUAGUAGUAGUGAAGAACUGCAAGGAAAAACAAAAGAAAAACAAAUAAAGGCUGAGUGAAGAGUUCAUUCCCCUAAAAUGACCUGAAAACCUAUCAAUGGAAGGAAGAUAUUUCAUGAUUUAACCCUCUGAGGUCUAAGGGCAUUUUCACACAUCUUCUUAAAUUCACUUUUUUAAGGAUUUUGCAUAUAACUGAUCCCCAUGUGUUUAAUAUUAAAAUGUUCAGAACAAACUCAGCUUUCGGUAACACUUCACAAUAAGGUAGACAUGGUAGUUAAUGCUUGGUUAAGCAUUAACUACCAUUACUGAAUGAGUAACUACUCAUUAACUAACCAUUCGUUCCUCAUUCAUUUAACAGUACCUACCAGUCUGUUUACCAGUAACUAACAUUACUGCUUGAAUCACAGUCAAUCAGUAACUACUCAUUAACUAACCAUUUGUUCCUCAGUAACUACCUACAUUUUUGUGUACCUUAUUGUAAAGUGUUACCCAGCUUUCCAUAUAUUGACGCCCACAUUUUUUCUAGAAUAAUGUGUAAAGAGAUAAUUUGGCGCUAAAGCUGAAAACGUUGAUGUUGGCUUUUUGAAAUUCCUUAAAUGUCCGUACAACACAUCAUAAGAUAAGGUUUGUUUUCAAAGAAUUGUUUCGGUGCUUGAAGUGAGUUUACAAAAGUCUUAGGUUAUAUAUGAUUAAUA